rnacentral:misc_RNA from 1 species
ACCGAACCUCUCACAAACUGUCAACAUAGCAACUAAGAUCCAAUAUUGGCACCAAAAGCGGAGUUGCUGAAUAUCUGGUUUGUUCAUCUCCACAGUUUUGAAGCAUUCAUAAGCUGGAUAAGCAUAACCAAAAACCAUCACAAGCACUCUGGUGAUAAAAGAUCCAAUCAUCUUGAAUUCCUUUUGCUGAUCAAUCCAAAGCAAACACCGGCGAACUGACUAGAAAAUCCGGCGAAUUGGCCGUUAGUUAGAGCAAAGCAGGCAAGUAAACAGUUUUUUAGAAGUUGGUGGCACCACCGCAGUUCUCCGGCGAACCGUUGCGAUGUUGGCGAGAAGAGGUGUGUGAAAG